UCCCUAGUGGCUCAGAUGGUAAAGGAUCUGCCAGCAAUGCAGGAGACCCAGGUUCAAUCCCUGGGUUGGGGAA
rfam:TPA: Bos taurus chromosome 12, whole genome shotgun sequence.